AGCGGAGGAAAAGAAAAUAACAAUGAUUCCCCUAGUAACUGCGAGUGAAGAGGGAUAAGCUCAAAUUUUAAAUCUGUUUGGUUUUACCUGACAGAGUUGUAAUUUAAAGAGACGUUUUCUGUGUCUUGAGUUAAUCAAAAUCCUUUGGAAUGAGGUAUCAUGGAGGGUGACAAUCCCGUUCAUGGUUAAUUCUAAGAUACUUUAUGAUGCGUUUUCGAAGAGUCGAGUUGUUUGGGAUUGCAGCUCAAAAUGGGAGGUAAAUUUCUCCUAAGGCUAAAUAUUGGCGAGAGACCGAUAGCGAACAAGUACCGUGAGGGAAAGAUGAAAAGAACUUUGAAAAGAGAGUUAAACAGUACGUGAAAUUGUUGAAAGGGAAACGAUUGAAGUCAGUCGUACCAGCGGGAAAUCAACCUUUCGAGUGGGGGUUUUGGAGUUUUGAAGAGUGUCAAAACCUUUGAGAUUUUAAAAUUUUCGCUCUUUUGGUGUACUUUCUCGUGGGUAGGUUAACAUCGAUUUUGAUCAUCAUAAAAAGAUUGGAGGAAUGUAGCUUCGAUCUUGUAUUGAAGUGUUAUAGCCUUUGGUAAAUGUGAUGAUUAGGAUCGAGGAUUGCAACGAAUACCCUUUUGGGCUAUCCGCCUGAUCUCUGAUACGUGGCCUUGGUAUCGAAAGCUUGCUUAUGGUAUUAAGGUAUUACGGUCAAAAGGUUAGAACGGAUUACAUUCGUUAAGGAUGUUGACGUAAUGGCUUUAAACGACCCGUCUUGAACAACGGAC
rnacentral:rRNA from 1 species